UGUCAUUAUCAAUGUAGGUGCUGUUUCCGGAAAUUUGUUCAUUCUUUGGACACAUGUCGAAGGCGUUACUUGAUCUUUUUGGAGGUAAAACAUGUUCAUCGCGGCGUAUUGCAGUAAAGUUUGGUCGGCUGUAAAAUAUAAAUACGAGACAUGAAAUACAUAUUGGGGAAUAUGUGGAGAAUAUUCAACGCACAUAUGAAAAUGCCGUAAAAUACGUGCAUGCAGAAAUGCGAUGAGAAGAUUUCAGCUCAAUGAGUUCAAAGUUGGGCAAUACGUUCAUUAAGGGUGUUUUUCCCCUAACACAGCGAAUAUCAAGGAAAUGCAGAAUGAAUUUGGAAAACCAUUUCAUGAGAUGAACUUGCUGGUGUUCAUGGGAUUACGCCAAGGAUUUGCAGUUAUCGUUGCAUAUGAAACUAAAAUGUGUACACUUGAAAAUUUUCGAAAUAAAUAAUUGUGUAUUAUAUUUAUAAAUUUAAAA